CUGGGCUUUCCAGAGGCCCAGGACUCUGCUCAGCAGGGCCUGUUUACUCUGAGAGGCCGAGUUCUCUUUCCCUGUGAACAGAAGGGCUUGCUUUUGAGAGUCCUUUGAUGAAGCAGAGGGCAUGUUAAUUGAGAAGGAUUAGAAAAAUAAUGCAGCUGCUAAAAAUUGAAGGACUGAACUUGGCUCCUCCAGGAUUACUGAGUUACUUGGUGGCUUGCCUUCCAAGUCACCAGAGAUUUCCAGGCUUGCUGGGAGACUGUCUUGUCCUCAGUAAUUCCACAGAUUAAAGACGGCUCGGUCUUCUGGCUUUGAACAAAAGAGAAAUGGAUGUUGUCAUAAUUCCUCGUACAGGUGACCUGGACAUACUGACUGUUUCAGCCGGCAUGUGUUAACUCACAGGUUAAACCUCAGAACAUUAUUAUAAUCAG